rnacentral:rRNA from 1 species
UACGUGAGGGGCGAACGUUGUUCGGUGUCACUGGGCUUAAAGGGUGCGUAGGUGGUUAUGUAAGUAACGUGUGAAAUCCCUCGGCUUACCCGGGGAAUUGCAUGUUAUACUGCAUGACUUGAGGGCUAAAGGGGGAAAAGGGAACUCCAGGUGUAGCGGUGAAAUGCGCAGAUAUCUGGGGGAAGGCCGGCGGCGAAGGCGCUUUUCUGGUUAGUACCUGACACUGAGGCACGAAAGCGUGGGGAGCAAACAGG